GAUGAACGCUGGCGGCGUGCUUAACACAUGCAAGUCGAACGAUUAAAGCUCUCUUCGGAGAGUGUAUAGAGUGGCGAACGGGUGAGUAACACGUGGGCAAUCUGCCCUCUGCUUCGGGAUAACUCAGGGAAACUUGAGCUAAUACCGGAUACUCCUUACUGAUCACAUGGUCGGUUAGGGAAAGCUCCGGCGGCAGAGGAUGAGCCCGCGGCCCAUUAGCUUGUUGGUGAGGUAAUGGCUCACCAAGGCAACGAUGGGUAGCCGAGCUGAGAGGCUGAUCGGCCACACUGGGACUGAGACACGGCCCAGACUCCUACGGGUGGCUG
rnacentral:rRNA from 1 species